UGCUCUGCUUGUUCGUAGUGUUCAAACACAUUCUGGUGCAGGCCAGCCCUGAUUAGAAGCAGACUGGUGGAGGAUUAUUCCAGAGCACAAGAACAAAUAUGGGACGGAGACUGAGAGAAAAUUUUUAAGAAAACAGAGCAAAAAAGUAGAAAGGAGGUCAGUAAUGAGGACCUGAGGAGCCCUUUGAAGGACAGAGCAGUGUAGACAGCUUUAUCAGACAGAACCUAGAAAAUAUGCUCAAAGCCAUGGACCUCUGUUCUCUGCCUUGUUCCUGGUCAGAAGAUGAAGUCCUGCCCUGCAGACUCUGCAGCUGCUCCCAAGGGUGAAAGAGUGGAAAAGACUGUAUAAGCAAUAAAAAAAUAUC